rnacentral:lncRNA from 1 species
CUGGGGUCAAGGGCACAUGUACAUCCAUAAACAACACUUUAUUCAAAUAAGCAACGUCUUGUUGCGGCUACUAAUGCCUAGCCGAUUAACUUGAAAGCAGCAGCUUUCCUUGCAAGCUGCACUCGUGUGUUGGGAGACAGGUCAAAUACUGGGCUACCAAAUGGAGCUUCAUUCAAAUAACCAUCACGCGGAUCAUGCUCAUCUCCUGCAGUAGAAUAGGUAAAGUCGUUCAAUCAUCAUGGCUGACUAAGCAUGUACUUCAUUUAGAUUCUUCACACGCAAUUUUUGAAUGGUCAAUUAUUCAAUACAGAAUACUAUGCAAAAGAAUCAAGUUGGUAUAUUGAGUACUAAAAAUGCUACUAAAUUUGAGAGUAUAUAUAUGCUUCAAAUUCCUACAAAACUAUGUGGCUUCAAUAGAACUCCAUGCAAGGGGGCUGGUGUAGCAUCAAAGAUAAUGCCUACCACAAAAAAGAUGAGGAUCAAAAGUUCUUAACAUGGAAAUGAUGGUGGUAUAAAAAAGAAUUUUGACAUAAAUAAAAUCCCAAUAAUAUAAGCAACAAUGACAGUACGAAUCAAUAGAACUGCCAGGUGGUGGAUGCAGUGACACUCAGGUUUGCUCACAACCUCUACAAUACCACCUACAUAGCACUUAAUAGAUACUGAAAUAAUGCAGGAAUAGAUUUACACAAACUCUUGGUUUCACCAGCCAAGCGUUGGAGGAGCAUAUCAACGAAGGGAGCACCUACAACACGGUGGAUGAAACCGACAACAAACUGGCGGAGAAUUGAAGGAGACCUCCACACAUUAUCUAGCCAAGACAAGUGUCAAUUUCAAAAUCAAGUAGCAAAAUCAUGUAUGCAUUCAAUAAUUGCAUCUUACCACAUAACCAUUGUGACAAUCAACUGCAGUGUGUGCAAUAUAAUGACUGUUAGGUACGACUUCAUGCUAUCCAUGUCAGCAAUGUAACAAAUGUUAUGUAUGACUUCAUGCUAUCCAUCUCAGAAAUUAUUCUUUACCUAGCAGUCAGAUCAUAUCUCAGCAAUUAGCAGGGGAGUAGUGAAAAAAAUAUCAGAGUCAAGCAAAUGGUUGAUGUGCUAAGAGUAAAGCUAAUUCCAGCACACAAAAAGGUGUAACAUCUAACAUCUAAUACUGCUCUAAGACAACACAAAACCUAGCAAAAACUGCAGAUCAAGCAAGAUUAUAUCUAUGUCUAGGUGUAACU